UGGGGAAUAUUGCACAAUGGGGAAGACCCUGAUGCAGCCAUGCCGCGUGUAUGAAGAAGGCCUUAGGGUUGUAAAGUACUUUCGGUGAUGAGGAAGGUACUUGGUCUAAUAGGCCAAGUAAUUGACGUUAAUUACAGAAGAAGCACCGGCUAACUCCGUGCCAGCAGCCGCGGUAAUACGGAGGGUGCGAGCGUUAAUUCGGAAUGACUGGGCGUAAAGGGCAUGUAGGCGGAUGAUUAAGUUAGGUGUGAAAUCCCCGAGCUCAACUUGGGAAUUG
rnacentral:rRNA from 1 species